UUACGGCCACAUCACGUUGAAACAUUGGUUCCAGUACGACCACCGAAGUUAAGCAACGUCGAGUCUGGUUAAUACCUAAAUGGGUGAAUGCUUGAGAAUACCAGGUGCUGUAAG